CUGGGGGUGCUCUGCCAGGGGAGACUGAAGAACAACGGUGAUUGGCCAUCAGCCUGUGACAUCACAAAGGGCAGCAGGAGCGAGAAGGAAGCGGGAACACUGAGGUGACAUAAAAUGGUCCGGUCUAUCCGUACCAGGAAAUGCCACUCAGCAAUGCCACUCCCAACAGCACGGGCGAAUCUCAAGUGUGUUGAGCUGCGCGGCAGCCGCCAGGCGCAAAGAUGACCACGUCCCGUGUGGUUCCACCUACAGGACACUCUGGAAAAGACAGAGGACAGAACGGUGGCUGCCAGGGGCUGGAGGUGGGGGCAGGGCUGUCUACGAAAGGGCCCGAGAAAACCAGAGAGGGGAUGACAGCACCGUCCCGGGGGGGAGGCUACCAACUAUACGUGUAUUUCUCAAAACCCGCAGAACUUUCCACUAAAAAGAGUGCCUUCUACUGCACAUAGAUUGUACUUCAAUAAAACAGAGGGGUCUGGAGCCCCAGAGGUGGA